UUACUAUCAGAUUAGUGUUUUUUCUGGUAGGAAGCUGCUCAAAAACGUUUAUAUGCGCUUGUUGGUAGUGUCACAUAGUCAUGUAUUGUGGAAGUUCCUAGGUCAUUCUUGAUUAUGCUGUCCAAGCACGUGGACAUGUGUUAGCCACAUUUUUUUCUGUUUCUGGUGAUUCAUGACAUUUGAAUCAGUGAUAUGAAUCUUCUCAUUGACCUGAUAAUGAACCGAAUUGAAUGUCCCUUCAAUCUUGAUAUUGGUUUUUUCUGUUUCUGGUGAUUCAUGACAUUUGAAUCAAUGAUAUGAAUCUUCUCAUUGACCUGAUAAUGAACCGAA
rnacentral:lncRNA from 1 species